AGUGGUUGACGAAGAUGAGGCCGGUGAAGAGCAGCACCACCAUGGAGAGGAAGGAGAAGACCACGCACACGCAGCCGGCGAAAUAUUGCUGAAAUUUAAAGGAGGACGAAGACACAGAUUCAUAGCUGGCUCUUGCUGUUUUCCUGACGCUGACCACAGCGGAUAGAGUUUCUUAUAUAGUACUACUUUGAGAAGCCAAAGGAAGCAAUGGUAGUCAUCCCAGGAAAAAACACACAGACAUCAACUCAGAAUGCUUUUAUACAAUUUGGAAUAAAGAACACACAUUUUUCUACUUGUACAGAAUAUAAAAAUAAUCUUUUGUGCUUAUGCUUCACUCCCAUUUUUUCAGGCAGAAAUUCAUACUCAUUCUUGGAAAAUAUGCAAAAUUGUUGCAAAGAUACGCAAAGACAUACAAAAUUUUCCAAACAAACAAGUAAAACAAAAGGUACAUUUUAAGCUGCUCAAAAGUUAAUCUAACAGCAAAGGUACUGUUGUUCAGCUUGAAUGAGAGGAUGAAACUGUAGCAUGCUAUCUGAUGAAAUGCCAAUGUCAUCUUUGUCAGUGGAUUUCAUCUCUCGUUUUGACUGAUAAGUGAUGAAAAACUGUUGUUCGUAUAGUUCAUAAACAUAAUAAUGGAUUCAGAGCUCCCAUAGUAUAUUUUUUAAGACAAGGACAGGCCUGAGUCAAGCAACAUCAGAUUUCUUCAAGACUCUGCUUGGGUUAAACCAUGUAGCAUCAAUUCUUUUGUGAGGUCAUUGUUGGCGGAAUCUGCAUGUUUGAUGUCAGCAAGUUAAGGAUCAUAAAUACACGUUGAAUUUCAAGAUCGCUGGAGCAGAAAUAAGCAUCAAAAGGAUUCUGCAAGGUUCCAGGUGCCCACAGAUUUUUGCCGGCAGAAAACUGGAAAAAAAAUAUUACUCUCUACUUCACCCUAAAGAAACACUUUUUCCUGGCAUUGAAAAUUAACAGGAGUACCUGCUCCCAUCUCCUUUUCCAGAGCAGCAGUUUGGACGGAAGAGCUCAUGGUGGCUCUGCAGCUUUACGAAGAGCAUGUAAGGCUUUGAAUGGAAAAAAAUACUUCACCAAUUUCAUCAGAAGUAUCCACCCAAUAAGUCAAGCCAUGAAUAAACUCAUCCAUGUCCAAUUGUCCUAAGUAAAUGUUCCUUUACUUUCAACAUUCCCUUCCCCUAUCCCUAUUUUCUUUUCCUUUUUUGCCUGAAGGUCAUUCAAAUGCUCAAGGCUAUCUUGUAGAAAGCCAGCAAAUUCCUGUCUAUAGAAAACAUACUUUAGGCUGGGCACGGUGUGGUUCACGCCUGUAAUCCCAGCACUUUGGGAGGCCAAGGUGGGUGGAUCAUUUGAGGUCAGGAGUUCGAGACUAGCCUGGCCAACAUGGUGAAACCCCACCUCUACUAAAAAUAUAAAAAUUAGCUGGACGUGGUGGUGGGUAUCUAUAAUCUCAGCUACUUGGGAGGCUGAGGCAGGAGAAUCGCUUGAGCCUGGGAGGUAGAGGUUGCAGUGAGCUGAGAUUGUACCACUGCACUCCAGCCUGGGUGACAGAGUAAGACUCUCAAAAAAAAAAAA
rnacentral:lncRNA from 1 species